rnacentral:rRNA from 1 species
AGCCCGAGUAAACGGCGGCCGUAACUAUAACGGUCCUAAGGUAGCGAAAUUCCUUGUCGGUUAAAUACCGACCUGCAUGAAUGGCGUAACGAGAUGGGAGCUGUCUCAACCAGAGAUUCAGUGAAAUUGUAGUGGAGGUGAAAAUUCCUCCUACCCGCGGCAAGACGGAGAGACCCCG